rnacentral:lncRNA from 10 species
GUGCGCGCGCAGCGUGGGAGGAGGCCAACUCUCGGGGCGCUCCCUAGCCCUGGGUGGGUGGAGCGGGGGAAGCGGAGUACGUUGGACCCGGCUCCGCCCUACCCCACGGGGCCGCCUGGAGAGGUGCUGGGAGCUGGGUGGAGCUUAGAGGAAUUAAACUUUGGCCCUGCGCCUCGUCCAGCCUAGGUUCCACCCUUUUCUGGGAACAUCUUCACUUCAGGUCAGCUCCAAGGAGGCUAUCCUUGCCCAUCUUCCUAAAAUAGAGCUCUCAAAACCUGGCUGUUUUCCUUCAGAGCACUGGCCUCCAAUUGCUCCGGUAGAUUGCAAAUGACCUGCUUUCUUUCUGUUCCCGGGCGGCAUCGGACCCGUCGGAGAGUAAAUCCCAAGUAAGGUACCUGCCGUUGGCAGAUUUGAGCUUUCUUCUUGGACACCUAAUACCCACAGUCCUCCA